UCCUACGGGAGGCAGCAGUGAGGAAUAUUGGUCAAUGGACGGAAGUCUGAACCAGCCAUGCCGCGGGCCGGAUGACUGCCCUAUGGGUUGUAAAAUGCUUUUUUGAAGGAAGAAAAGUACCUACGCGUAGGUAUUUGCCGGUACUUCAGGGAUAAGGAUCGGCUAACUCCGUGCCAGCAGCCGCGGUAAUACGGCGGAUCCGAGCGUUAUCCGGAUUUAUUGGGUUCAAAGGGUGGGUACGCGGUAUAUUAAGUCAACGUCGAAAGUAUUUGAGUCAACCAUAGAAAAGCCCAUGAAAAUGGUAUAGUCACGUAUAGUCGCCGUAUACGGAAUGUGUAGCGUAGGCGCCAAAUGAUUACAUUUAAUACAGAACACGGUUUGAUAAUGCGUCUUACUCAGGUAUAAGGCACAGUGAUGCCCGAUCGCUUUGGUAGAGAACCGGGCAAGUACCUACGGUAGUCCACUCUUUUUCCUUCGAUCAAGCAGUUUACAACCCAUAAAGCAGUCAUCUGACACAAAGCAUUAAGUGAUCCACCUGGGGAGCAUUUUGCAAUAUUCGAAACUGAAAUGAACUGUAGGA
rnacentral:rRNA from 1 species